rnacentral:rRNA from 1 species
GAGCGGUAGAGAGUGUGCUUGCACCUCUUGAGAGCGGCGGACGGGUGAGUAAAGCCUAGGAAUCUGCCUGGUAGUGGGGGAUAACGCUCGGAAACGGACGCUAAUACCGCAUACGUCCUACGGGAGAAAGCAGGGGACCUUCGGGCCUUGCGCUAUCAGAUGAGCCUAGGUCGGAUUAGCUAGUUGGUGAGGUAAUGGCUCACCAAGGCGACGAUCCGUAACUGGUCUGAGAGGAUGAUCAGUCACACUGGAACUGAGACACGGUCCAGACUCCUACGGGAGGCAGCAGUGGGGAAUAUUGGACAAUGGGCGAAAGCCUGAUCCAGCCAUGCCGCGUGUGUGAAGAAGGUCUUCGGAUUGUAAAGCACUUUAAGUUGGGAGGAAGGGCAUUAACCUAAUACGUUAGUGUUUUGACGUUACCGACAGAAUAAGCACCGGCUAACUCUGUGCCAGCAGCCGCGGUAAUACAGAGGGUGCAAGCGUUAAUCGGAAUUACUGGGCGUAAAGCGCGCGUAGGUGGUUCGUUAAGUUGGAUGUGAAAUCCCCGGGCUCAACCUGGGAACUGCAUUCAAAACUGUCGAGCUAGAGUAUGGUAGAGGGUGGUGGAAUUUCCUGUGUAGCGGUGAAAUGCGUAGAUAUAGGAAGGAACACCAGUGGCGAAGGCGACCACCUGGACUGAUACUGACCACUGAGG